GUAACAAGGUUUCCGUAGGUGAACCUGCGGAAGGAUCAUUC
rnacentral:rRNA from 5 species